UGCGAAGCACGGCUCUUGCUAGGGCUAGUGUUGGCAAAUUCUCUCAGGUUGAGCCAAUGAACUCACCUACCCGUCCACGCGUAGCUAGAAUAGCCCCUUAGGCUACCAACAAACAAGUAGCUGAAAAAACUCCUUACAAGUGUUUUUAGUUGAGUUCAGUCGCAUUUUUUUUGAGCGACCAAAGUUGAUUACUUGCAAUCAGCUCGUGUGAACCGGCUUUACUCAAUGUGAUAUUGAAAUACCCUAGCCAUGUCGUAUUAUUUCAUGAGCUGUUAGUAUAUUUUGCGUUCUACGUUUGAUAUUAUAGUGGGUAUUUUAGUUCGGGCGCAAGUUUUACGUUUGGCCAGUCCGGCAAGUUCAUGACGCGCGCCGUAAAUUUUGUAUUUGGCAUCUGAACGUUUCAGAAAGUUUAUAUUUUCUAAGGUAAUAUAGACAUCUAACUUACAGCCUACCUGCUGCAAAGCGGUUAUCGGAUUACUGACACUACAGCGCGGCUUAUUUUGAAAUAAUAUUAUCAGUUCAAUUGCAUCGGUAAAGACGGCUGUCUUAUCCAGAAAUUCGAAAAACGUGACUACUUCGGGACAGAAAAAAGCAUAAUGGUUGUGGUACCUACCAGUACGAAAUUUCCCUGCCUCUGGAAAUUAAGAUAGGGAUAAUGGAAAUAUUUUUCAUUGUCUUGGAUGCAGAUGAAUAUGCAGUCCACCAAUUGGUGAACAAAGAAGUUGUCAUAGAGAACACCAUCCAGGAAAGGGAAAAAAUAUUAUGUAGUUAGGCUGUAGAUGAGAAAACUGUUACUACAGAUGUAUAAAAAAGUAGCUGUAAUAAAUUGAAAAGGCAGCGGUAAAAAGGCGUCUUCUGAUUACCGAGACGAUCUAUUAUUAUCAUUAAGAUCCUCUAGCCCGGUGGUCGGAAAACACGCUACCUAAAAGAGCGAUUAACGAAAUUAAAGUUUUUUUUAAACUGAAUCUUUAUUUAGAGGCUUUAUUUUCAAAAAUUUUACUCGACUCUUACAAGGUAAGUUAACAAACUAUGUUCAUUGGCUGCAUUAAGCAUUUAGUGCCAAGGACAGGCACGAAAGUCCACUAUGCGUCCUUGCUUCGGGGACGUGACGUUCCUAAGAUCAUCCUUUUUCCAGAUCAUUAAGCUUGUUCCUAAUCACGAUCGCAUUUGUGAACAGAUUUACAUUGGAUACGUAAUCUUUUUUAACUUUAAGAGAGUUGCUCCAAAAUUGAGAUGCCAGCGUUCAAGUCAUAUGUGCAGGUUCACCCUUUAAUGUAAGUCGCCUCGUAUAAUAAAAUAAAUCCGGAUAUUUAGGUACUGGUGGUGAGGCGCAUUUUGCACCCGGUUCUACGUUUACUCAAUCCUAAAUAUUGUACCAAUUUGCCGGUACAAGAUUUCUAGCUACCCGAGAUUUUAACAUAGUAGGAAGCGGCAUUCACUUUGUAAUGUCUAUGAAUUGUGCCACUUAACAUCAGUAGUGCUACGGCCUUAAGCUUCAGAGCUCGUCUGCCGCUCUUACUUAACAUAACAGUAACGAAUUUUUUUUUUUUUUUUGCUAAGGAACAAGAUUCCCAAUUUGUCAGUCAAAUUUUUAUCAAUGAUUUAUGUCAUUUACGUUUAUGGAAAUCUGAUAGUACGUUUUAAAAUAAAGAUUUCAUGUUGACAGAAACUUGUAAUCUUUUUGUUACUGCGCAAAAAAUCGACUGACCUCCGAAAAACGUCACAACUUUCUUCAAUAAAAUCAAUGAAAUAUUGAACAUAAAAUGAAAUGUUUUGGAAUCUACCGCCGGAUCGGAAACGCGACCCACUGAGAAUAUCGACGAGAAAGAUAACCGGUGCUUGGGGAACCUAAAAGCACCGUUAGUGGAUCGGGAGGAUCCGUGACGUGACGAUGACGUGUUUUGGGCAAUGUCGACUGUUUACCAUUUGGUCUGCAGGAUCGACUAAGCAGUUACCGGCGGCUACGAUGAGAUGGUUCUCGUGUCGUGCCGCUUUAUGGAAAUGGGUUUAGUAUACUUAAGGGAAAAACCCAAGCAACAAAUUAUUCUGCAUGUCAUGGUUUCUGUUAUUGAAAUGUAUUGUUAGUUAAUAUAAUCGAUUUUAAUUAAUUAUUAUAAUACAUUAGAUUAAGAAAAAUCAUAAAUCAUACAUAACAUAACAAAAUCUAAUUUUAUCUCAAAGUUGUAUGCAAAGUGUAGAAAUUGCACAAAUCAAACAAGUUUAUCUCUUUCAUCCUUGAUAAUAAAGACAGAUACUUUAA